rnacentral:rRNA from 1 species
UACGUAGGGUCCGAGCGUUAAUCGGAAUUACUGGGCGUAAAGCGUGCGCAGGCGGUUUUGUAAGUCAGAUGUGAAAGCCCCGGGCUUAACCUGGGAAUGGCAUUUGGGACUGCAAGGCUGGAGUACGGCAGAGGGAGGUGGAAUUCCAGGUGUAGCAGUGAAAUGCGUAGAUAUCUGGAGGAACACCGAUGGCGAAGGCAGCCUCCUGGGCUAGUACUGACGCUCAUGCACGAAAGCGUGGGGAGCAAACAGG